rnacentral:ncRNA from 2 species
UAAGGAGUAGGUACAUACGCGUUAAGUGCUGGUGGAACGGAAUGUGAACACCGGACGAAGCCGCUACCGUGGGGUAGAGCGCGAUGUAUGCACCGCAUUCGUCUUA